rnacentral:rRNA from 1 species
UACGUAGGGAGCAAGCGUUGUUCGGAUUUAUUGGGCGUAAAGGGCGCGUAGGCGGCGUGGCAAGUCACUUGUGAAAUCUCCGAGCUUAACUCGGAACGGUCAAGUGAUACUGCUGUGCUAGAGUGCAGAAGGGGCAAUCGGAAUUCUUGGUGUAGCGGUGAAAUGCGUAGAUAUCAAGAGGAACACCUGAGGUGAAGACGGGUUGCUGGGCUGACACUGACGCUGAGGCGCGAAAGCUAGGGUAGCAAACGGG